UACAGAGGGUGCAAGCGUUAAUCGGAUUUACUGGGCGUAAAGCGCGCGUAGGUGGUUUGAUCAGUCGGAUGUGAAAGCCCCGGGCUUAACCUGGGAAUUGCAUUCGAUACUGUCUGACUAGAGUUUAGUAGAGGAAGGUAGAAUUCCAGGUGUAGCGGUGAAAUGCGUAGAGAUCUGGAGGAAUACCAGUGGCGAAGGCGGCCUUCUGGACUAAAACUGACACUGAGGUGCGAAAGCGUGGGUAGCAAACAGG
rnacentral:rRNA from 1 species